ACGUAGGUGGCGAGCGUUAUCCGGAUUCAUUGGGCGUAAAGAGCUUGUAGGCGGCGUCAUAAGUUGGACGUGAAAACUCCGGGCUUAACCCGGAAAGGUCAGCCGAUACUGCGGGGCUAGAGUGCAGAAGGGGCAACUGGAAUUCUCGGUGUAGCGGUGAAAUGCGUAGAUAUCGAGAGGAACACCUGCGGCGAAGGCGGGUUGCUGGGCUGACACUGACGCUGAACUGCGAAAGCUAGGGGAGCGAACGGGA
rnacentral:rRNA from 1 species